rnacentral:tRNA from 1 species
AGGGGUGUAGUUUGGUGGCAGAGCGCCUGCUUAGCAUGCAGGACACCCUGGGUUAGAUCCCCAGCACCGUUA